CCUACGGGCGGCAGCAGUAGGGAAUUUUUCACAAUGGGCGAAAGCCUGAUGGAGCAACGCCGCGUGCAGGAUGAAGGCCUUCGGGUUGUAAACUGCUUUUAUAAGCGAGAAAUAUGAUGGUAACUUAUGAAUAAGGAUCGGCUAACUACGUGCCAGCAGCCGCGGUCAUACGUAGGAUCCGAGCAUUAUCCGGAGUGACUGGGUGUAAAGAGUUGCGUAGGUGGCAUAAUAAGUAGCUAGUGAAAUCUGGUGGCUCAACCAUUCAGACUAUUAGCUAAACUGUUAAGCUCGAGACCGUUAGGGGUAACUGGAAUUUCUAGUGUAGGAGUGAAAUCCGUAGAUAUUAGAAGGAACACCAAUAGCGUAGGCAGGUUGCUGGGACGGUUCUGACACUAAGGCACGAAAGCGUAGGGAGCAAACGGGAUUAGAUACCCCAGUAGUC
rnacentral:rRNA from 1 species